AUUGAACGCUGGCGGCAGGCUUAACACAUGCAAGUCGAGCGGGGGAAGGUAGCUUGCUACCGGACCUAGCGGCGGACGGGUGAGUAAUGCUUAGGAAUCUGCCUAUUAGUGGGGGACAGCAUCUCGAAAGGGAUGCUAAUACCGCAUAAGUCCUACGGGAGAAAGCAGGGGAUCUUCGGACCUUGCGCUAAUAGAUGAGCCUAAGUCGGAUUAGCUAGUUGGUGGGGUAAAGGCCUACCAAGGCGACGAUCUGUAGCGGGUCUGAGAGGAUGAUCCGCCACAGUGGGACUGAGACACGGCCCAGACUCCUACGGGAGGCAGCAGUGGGGAAUAUUGGACAAUGGGGGGAACCCUGAUCCAGCCAUGCCGCGUGUGUGAAGAAGGCCUUAUGGUUGUAAAGCACUUUAAGCGAGGAGGAGGCUACUCUAGUUAAUACCUAGGGAUAGUGGACGUUACUCGCAGAAUAAGCACCGGCUAACUCUGUGCCAGCCGCCGCAGUAA
rnacentral:rRNA from 1 species